GACGAACGCUGGCGGCGUGCCUAAUACAUGCAAGUCGAGCGAGCUGAAUUCAAAGAUCCCUUCGGGAUGAUUUGUUGGACGCUAGCGGCGGAUGGGUGAGUAACACGUGGGCAAUCUGCCCUAAAGACUGGGAUACCACUUGGAAACAGGUGCUAAUACCGGAUAACAACAUGAAUCGCAUGAUUCAAGUUUGAAAGGCGGCGCAAGCUGUCACUUUAGGAUGAGCCCGCGGCGCAUUAGCUAGUUGGUGGGGUAAAGCCUACCAAGGCAAUGAUGCGUAGCCGAGUUGAGAGACUGAUCGGGCCACAUUGGGACUGAGACACGGCCCAAACUCCUACGGGAGGCAGCAGUAGGGAAUCUUCCACAAUGGACGCAAGUCUGAUGGAGCAACGCCGCGUGAGUGAAGAAGG
rnacentral:rRNA from 1 species